UGACCACCCCGAAAGACGGAGUCAAGGCCAUACGGACAGCCGGGUCAACUGCCGA
rnacentral:sRNA from 1 species